rnacentral:rRNA from 1 species
AACGAACGCUGGCGGCAUGCCUAACACAUGCAAGUCGAACGAGACCUUCGGGCCUAGUUGCGCACGUGUGCGUAACGCGUGGUAACCUGCCCUUAGGUUCGGAAUAACUCCCCGAAAGGGGUGCUAAUACCGGUGAAUGUCAUCGGACCUACGAUUUAUCGCCUUUGGGUGGGCCCGCGUUGGAUUAGCCAGUUGGUAGGGUAAAAGCCUACCAAGGCGACGAUCCAUAGCUGGUAUGAGAGGAUGAUCAGCCACACUGGGACUACGACACGGCCCAGAAUCGGACGGGAGGGAGCAGUGGGGAGUAUUGGACGAGGGGGGAAAGCCUGAUACAGCAAUGCCGGGUGAGUGAUGAAGGCCUUAGGGUUGUAAAGCUCUUUGACCCGGGAUGAUAAUGACAGUACCGGGAGAAUAAGCUCCGGCUAACUACGUG